AACUAUCUCAAAUCUCAACAAAAUAGUACUAGGUUGUAUGCAGAGAUCAUGAUUCGAUGAGUCUCUAGCCCAAGAGCCUAAUCCUUAGGCAGGACAAAAGGAAGGACAAAUGCUCGAUCCUAUCCAUCCGGCUUAUUGGGAGUCGUUUUCAUUCCUCUCACCUCUCCAGAUUUUUUCCAAUCCAUUGUUCUUCGUUUUAAGAACGAAAGUCAAUGUCAAUGAUUUUUUGUGUUGUGUCUUGCGGGAAAGAACUAAGAUGGAAGGACGGACGAUCGACAGGAAAUAUAGUGACUGCCCUAUCCCUCCCUUGAUGGACCCCUCUAAUUUGGUCAAUUUGAAUCUUGUGAAACUUAGGCAGGGGAACAUGGUAAAGUAUCCAUUUUUAGAAUGUUCAUCCUUUCAGCCUCAACAAUUGCCUCUUACCUGCCUCUGUUUUCCCCACCCCAUCAAUCAAGAGGCCAAUACCAACAUCAUCUUUUUUCUGCUGAAGGGAAAUCACAAUUUACUUUGAAUCUUGCGUUGGAGCCUACCAUGUCAUUACUACUAGCUAGCUUCCAUGUUUUCCCCAUCCCAUCAAUCAAGACGCCAAUACCAACAUCAUUUUUUUUGUGCUGAAGGGACAUCACAAUUUACUUUCACUGAAUCUUGCGUUGGAGCCUACCUUUUCAUUACUACUAGCUAACUUCCAUGUUUUCCCCACCCCAUCAAUCAAGAGGCCAAUACCAACAUCAUUUUUUCUCUGCUGAAGGGACAUCACAAUUUACUUUCACUGAAUCUUGCGUUGGAGCCUACCAUGUCAUUACUACUAGCUAACUUCCAUGUUUUCCCCACCCCAUCAAUCAAGAGGCCAAUACCAACAUCAUUUUUUUUGUGCUGAAGGGACAUCACAAUUUACUUUCACUGAAUCUUGCGUUGGAGCCUACCAUGUCAUUACUACUAGCUAACUUCCAAUUUUCACUGCUUCAAGACAAUUCCAAACACUCAAUCUUUGCAUGAUUAAUCAUCAUUCUUACCAAUGCCUCAGGCCGUGACCUCUUUCAUUGGAAAAUUUCUCUUAUACCUUUCCUUGUAUGUAGUCCAUCAUAGAUGAGCACUAGAAAUUAUUAAUCUGAUCUUACCCUCCUCAUUUAACCCGAUACAUGAAGAAAUUAUUUAGCCAAUUACAUGGCGUCAUAUGUUAAGCACGAGUCGCCGUCUGUCACAUAUGUUGACACCAUAUCUAUAUCAUUAGUAUUUUUAAUUGAUUUAAAUAAUAAAAAUUCAUAUUAUCACAAGUUAAUUAAACCAAUCAUGUGAUAACAAAUUAUUAUUUUAUCUCUAACUAAAUUAAAUUAAAUUAACAUAAUAUAAAUAAUAAAUUUAAACUUUAUGGAUCACUAUAUGAAGAUAUUAUAAUAUUUUAGUAGAACUCACUUUUAUUUGAUGAUCGAACACUAUAAAAGGAGUCACUUGCAAGUCAUUCAAUACAUUCACAAGUUCAAAAAUCUCGAAGUUUAUACAUCCUCUAAGGAGAAGAUUUUGAAGAUUGAAGUUUGUUAGACAUUUUAACUAUCCAAUACAUUCAUGUUAUACUGUCUAUUCGAACAUCUCUUUGGACAGUAACUUGGGAAAACCUAUUUUUUUCCUUGUUCGAACAACAAUUGAGACAAUAAGUUAGAAAAACACUUCUAACGUGAUGUUGGGAUAAUUAAUAUGCAGUAAGUUUGUUGGUAUUUUUUACUUGGUUCAUCAGGUUAGUUUUUCAUGAGCAAAUGAUUCUUGGAUUGAAGCUACAAUUAUUUUUCUCUUGGAUGGUGGAUUUAAUUUUAAAUGGAAGAAGAGAAGAGAGGUUGAUUAAAUGCAAACAUUAUCCUUAUUUUUAUCGUUUGACUUAUCUUGGAGGUUAAGCUGAUUUGAAUUUGUUUGGAUAUGAAGUAAUUUAUCGGAUUAUUAUUAUAGAUAACUCAAGCGAUAAAUUAAACUUUUAACUAAGAGUUUUAAGCUUAUCAAAAACCUAUUGAAGAGCUAUUGUAUCAACCUAAAAAUAGGCUGCUAGUUGUCGCUUAUUAUGUGUGAUUUUAGAUUUUUUAUUUUCUUUGAGGUUUCUUUCUAUUUUUUUUUUUUAUACUUUUGUAGGCAUUUUAUUGGAGAGUAAAUUUUGAUUGUAAGUGAGGUUAUUUUGAGGUGAGUGAUUGUAACAAUUGAAUUUAUUAUUGUUGGAAAAAUCUAGUUUGAAAAUAAUUUUCUUACACAGCAGAAAACUAAAAUUUUGAAAACGACUCCAUUUGUGAUAUUUAUAGCAUUAAACCGUAACCAAAA